rnacentral:rRNA from 1 species
UACGGAGGGUGCGAGCGUUAAUCGGAAUUACUGGGCGUAAAGCGCGCGUAGGUGGUCAGAUAAGUCGGGUGUGAAAGCCCCGGGCUCAACCUGGGAAUUGCAUUUGAGACUGCGUAGCUAGGGUGCGGAAGAGGGAAGCGGAAUUUCCGGUGUAGCGGUGAAAUGCGUAGAUAUCGGAAGGAACACCAGUGGCGAAAGCGGCUUCCUGGUCCAGCACCGACGUUCAGGCACGAAAGCGUGGGGAGCAAACAGG